rnacentral:rRNA from 1 species
CGCAUGCAGGUGGUUUGUUAAGUCAGAUGUGAAAAGCCCCGGGGCUCAACCUCGGAAAUUGCAUUUUGAAAACUGGCAAACUAGAGUACUGUAGAGGGGGGUAGAAUUUCAGGUGUAGCGGUGAAAUGCGUAGAGAUCUGAAGGAAUACCGGUGGCGAAGGCGGCCCCCCUGGACAGAUACUGACACUCAGAUGCGAAAGCGUGGGGAGCAAACAGGAUUAGAUACCCCUGGUAG